AAACCAUGGUACGGGCAUUCUUUCUAAUAUCCUCUAAAUAGAUCCCAUGUCACAUAGAAGGAUUUUUGCCCACCUUGCACAAAAGUGGAGAUUUUUUUUCUCAUGGU